rnacentral:rRNA from 1 species
AGCGAACGCUGGCGGCAGGCCUAAUUCAUGCAAGUCGAGCGCACCUUCGGGUGAGCGGCGGACGGGUGAGUAACGCGUGGGAACGUGCCCUUUGGUACGGGAUAACUGAGGGAAACUUCAGCUAAUACCGUAUGUGCCCUACGGGGGAAAGAUUUAUCGCCAUUGGAGCGGCCCGCGUUGGAUUAGGUAGUUGGUGAGGUAAAGGCUCACCAAGCCUACGAUCCAUAGCUGGUCUGAGAGGAUGAUCAGCCACACUGGGACUGAGACACGGCCCAGACUCCUACGGGAGGCAGCAGUAGGGAAUCUUGCGCAAUGGGCGAAAGCCUGACGCAGCCAUGCCGCGUGUAUGAUGAAGGUCUUAGGAUUGUAAAAUACUUUCACCGGGGAAGAUAGUGACGGUACCCGGAGAAGAAGCCCCGGCUAACUUCGUGCCAGCCGCCGCCGUAAUAC